GACAGAGGGUGCAAACGUUGUUCGGAAUUACUGGGCGUAAAGCGCGUGUAGGCUGCUUUGCAAGUCGGAUGUGAAAGCCCCGGGCUCAACCUGGGAAGUGCACUCGAAACUGCAGAGCUCGAGUCCUGGAGAGGAAGGCGGAAUUCUCGGUGUAGAGGUGAAAUUCGUAGAUAUCGAGAGGAGCACCGGUGGCGAAGGCGGCCUUCUGGACAGUGACUGACGCUGAGACGCGAAAGCGUGGGGAGCAAACAGG
rnacentral:rRNA from 1 species